rnacentral:Y_RNA from 1 species
GGCUGGUAACUCACGUGAUUGUUCACAGUCAGUUACAGAUUGAACUCCUUGUUCUACUACUUUCCCCCCUCCUCACUACUGCACUUGACUAGUCUUAA